CCCGUUGCUAGGAACUAGACGAAAUUCCGGGAGCCUUUGGGAAGAGACAGGAUGAGGCCGAGGCUCUGGAGAGCCCCUGAUCCCGAACCACCUCGACCGAGAAACAGAUCGGCCCGAAGGGAAUCCAACCUGGGGCCUGAGCUCGAGUAAGAGAGACCUGGAGCCCUCGAACCCGUCUCCUGGCCAGCUUGUGCUGAGCCUCAGAGGUCAAGGAGGUGGAAGGAAUUUCUUUCCGGGGAGGACCGUGGGUCCGUUCCGGCCACUGGAGGAAGAGGAAAGUCAUGGAAUACGAACAACAACUCCCGAGCCCGGCCGGACCCGCGGGCUAUCGGCAGGGUUCCCGACUGACCCGCCUCGACCCCGCGAAAUAGGAGCCGUCUGCUGGUCAGGAGACCCGGGGUGGCCCGUCGCCCUAAAGUUGAGGGGCGAGUGAACCGUGGAAGAGCCAGGCACCCCCCUCCCCGCCGAGCCUGAGGAAUUCAGGGAGGGCACCAAUAAAUUCAGGCCCUUCCCUGUGAUUACUAGGGCUCCGAGCCGCCACCCCCGCGAGAGGACACCCCGGCUGGGACGCAGCCACAGUCGCCGGCGACCUGGGAGGAGAAGCCAAGUGUUCCCGAUGGAGCGGACGCCUCAGAUAUCACCCGGAGCCCGGGUUCUUCCCCAAAAUGGGGCCUGCGACGCCAACCCAUCGUACCCGUGGGGGGUGACGAUACGCGUGACGAUUCGAAGAGUUUCCAAAAAGGACCCCCAAGGACCCUCCGUGGACGAGUGUCAGUGGCCGCCCGCCUCCUCCCAAGCCCACCCUUGUCGGGAGGAAUCAAAGCCAGAACAGAUGUCCUCUCCCCCGCCGUUCGGAGCAGGAAAUGAAAGUAAGGACGCGUGUCUUAUGCCGUCGAGUCGCUCCGACCCGUAGCGACUCCACGGGCACGUCUCUCCCAGAAAGCCCCACCUCCACAUGCCAUCGUUCCGGUGGUGGAUCCGUAGAGUUUUCUUGGUCAAAAUCCGGCAGGGGUUUACCGUCGCCGCCUUCCACGCGGUAAACUCGAAUCUCCGCCCUCGACCCUCCCCCGUGCCGCCGCUGCCCGGCACGGGGGAGUUUCGGCUUGUGGCAGAUGGCCCGCCGGCCGCCGGCCAAGCCAGGGACGGACCGGACAGGCCUCCGCUCGACUCUCCCUCCCGUAGCCGACGCUGGUAGGCGACUGGAAACUCUCCGGGUGCGACCGUGAGAUGGGGUAAAGACACUAGUCAAGGCUACAUCCUCACACCAGCUCUGAGCACCUCUGACCAGCUUGCACCACAAACCUUAAUAAUAAUAAUAAUGAUGAUGACGAUGGCAUUUGUUAAGCACUUUAUAUGUGCCAGGCACUGUACUAAGCGCUGGGGAGGACGCAAGCAAGUCGGGUCCCACGUGGGGCUCUUCUUUAUAUUAACGUCCGUCUCCCCCUCUAGACUGUAAGCUCACUGUGGGCGGGGAAUGUGUCUACCGACUCUGUUAUAUUGUUCUACUAUAGUAAUAAUAAUAAUAAUGUUAUGUGUUAAGCGCUUACUAUGCGCCUAGCACUGUUCUAAGCACUGGGGUAGAUACAAGGUAAUCAGGUUGUCCCACGUGGGGCUCACAGUCUUUCAUCCCCAUUUUCCAGAUGAGGUAACUGAGGCACAGAGAAGUUAAGCGGCUUGUCCAGAGUCGCACAGCUCACAGGCGGCGGAGCCCGGAUUAGAAUCCACGACCUCUGACUCCCGAGCCCGGGCUCUUCCCACUAUAAGCUACGCUACUUCUCCGAGGGCUCUCCCGAGUGUUUUAGAACAGUGCUCCGCGCCGGGUAGGUGCUCUGUAAGUUCAUUCAAUUGCAUUUAUUGAGCGCUUACUGUGUGCGGAGCACUGUACUAAGCGCUUGGGAAAGUACAAUACAUAUUCCCCGCCCACAGCGAGCUUACAGUCUCUAAAUAGCGCUGAUUGAUUUGGGAGGCUUGAGAGGCAGAGGAAGCCUGGGUCCUAUUUCUCACCUGGAGGGGGAGUCUGGUGUGGGGGAAGUGAAGACCCCCUUCCCCGCAUUAGGGUCUCGGUGCCCUCCCCGCCCUCCCUCACGCAGAGAGGUGCUGCUUAUUCUUAUAUUGUCCUUUCCCAAACGCUUAGGACAGUGCUCUGCACACAGUGAGCGCUCAGUAACUACGACCGAGUGAAUUCUGGACCGCCGGGGGCCGGGGGCCACUUCAGCUUGCGUCCCCUCACGCAGGGAAGCACUGGAUGGCGGCUCUGGAUCGAAGUCAGCUGACCGGCCGGGACCUGCUCGACUACCGGGGCGACGCCGGACGGGCCGCGGGCCGAGAGGACGGGAGACCGGGCCGCGUCGACGCGGCCUUGACCCUUUUCCUGACGUCGACCGGCUCCGGGUGAGGCCCGGCUCCAUCCUCCUCUCUACCGUACGGACCGGGCGGGCCACAGGAUUUCUUCUCUCCGAACGGGCCGCGUCGGGGCUCUUCCUGAGCGUGGCACGAAGCCCGAGAGCCCUACCGAAAGCUCACCUCCUCCGGGAGGCCUUCCCAGACUGAGCCCCCCAUUUCCUCUGCUCCUCCUCCCCUCUCCGUCGCCCCGACUCCCUCUCCUCUACCCCCCUCCCCGCCCCACGGCGCCUGUGCGUAUAUGCACAUAUCUAUUUUUUUAUUAAUGACGUGUAGAUAUCUCUAAUUCUCUUUAUCUCUUUUGAUGCUAUCGAUGCCUGUCUACUCGUUUCGUUUCGUUAUCCGGCUCCCCCCUUCUAGACUGUGAGCCCGUUGUUGGGUAGGGAUUGUCUCUAUCUGUUGCCCAACUUUCCAAGCGCUUACUACAGUGCUCCGCGCUCAGUCGGCGCUCAAUAAAUGCGAUCGAAUGAGUGAAGCCCGGGAAAGAGGAAGAAGGACACCCCCAUCGUCCUGCGUCGGAAACGGGUCUUUCCCACCCCAACGAGAAUGCACCGCCGCCAAAAACCCUCUCUCCCACCAUAAUAGUACUACUAAUAAUGGUAUUG
rnacentral:lncRNA from 1 species